rnacentral:rRNA from 1 species
AACGAACGCUGGCGGCAGGCCUAACACAUGCAAGUCGAGCGAAGUCUUCGGACUUAGCGGCGGACGGGUUAGUAACGCGUGGGAACGUGCCCUUGGGUAAGGAACAGCAGUUGGAAACGACUGCUAAUACCUUAUGAUGUCUUCGGACCAAAGAUUUAUCGCCCAAGGAUCGGCCCGCGUUGGAUUAGGUAGUUGGAGGGGUAACGGCCCACCAAGCCUACGAUCCAUAGCUGGUUUGAGAGGAUGAUCAGCAACACUGGGACUGAGACACGGCCCAG